rnacentral:rRNA from 1 species
GACGAACGCUGGCGGUAUGCUUAACACAUGCAAGUCGAACGAGACAAAAGAGAAGUGCUUGCACGGAUCUUUUAGAAAGUGGCGAACGGGUGAGUAACGCGUGGGUAACCUGCCCUAUGGAAAGGAAUAGCCUCGGGAAACCGGGAGUAAUGCCUUAUAAUACAUUGAAGUCGCAUGGCUUUGAUGUUAAACGCUCCGGUGCCAUAGGAUGGACCCGCGUCCCAUUAGCUAGUUGGUGAGAUAACAGCCCACCAAAGGCGACGAUGGGGUAAACCGGUCUGAGAGGGCGAACGGGUCACACUGGAACUGAGACACGGUCCAGACUCCUACGGGAGGCAGCAUG